rnacentral:rRNA from 1 species
AGUGAACGCUGGCGGUAGGCCUAACACAUGCAAGUCGAACGGCCGCACAGUAAGAGUUUGCUCUUACGGGUGGCGAGUGGCGGACGGGUGAGGAAUACAUCGGAAUCUACUUUUUCGUGGGGGAUAACGUAGGGCAGCUUACGCUAAUACCGCAUACGACCUACGGGUGAAAGCAGGAGAUCUUCGCACCUUGCGCGAUUGAAUGAGCCGAUGUCGGAUUAGCUAGUUGGCGGGGUAAAGGCACACCAAGGCGACGAUCCGUAGCUGGUCUGAGAGGAUGAUCAGCCACACUGGAACUGAGACACGGUCCAGACUCCUACGGGAGGCAGCAGUGGGGAAUAUUGGACAAUGGGCGCAAGCCUGAUCCAGCCAUACCGCGUGAGUGAAGAAGGCCUUCGGGUCGUAAAGCCCUUUUGUUGGGAAAGAAAAGCAGCAUAUUAAUACCCCGCUGUUCUGACGGUACCCAAAGAAUAAGCACCGGCUAACUUCGUG